rnacentral:rRNA from 1 species
CCUACGGGAGGCAGCAGUGAGGAAUAUUGGUCAAUGGACGAGAGGCUGAACCAGCCAAGUAGCGUGAAGGAUGACUGCCCUAUGGGUUGUAAACUUCUUUUAUAUGGGAAUAAAAUGUUCCACGUGUGGGAUUUUGUAUGUACCAUAUGAAUAAGGAUCGGCUAACUCCGUGCCAGCAGCCGCGGUAAUACGGAGGAUCCGAGCGUUAUCCGGAUUUAUUGGGUUUAAAGGGAGCGUAGAUGGGUUGUUAAGUCAGUUGUGAAAGUUUGCGGCUCAACCGUAAAAGUGCAAUUGAUACUGGCGUUCUUGAGUGAAGGUGAGGUAGGCGGAAUGCGUGGUGUAGCGGUGAAAUGCUUAGAUAUCACGAAGAACCCCGAUUGCGAAGGCAGCUUAC